rnacentral:rRNA from 1 species
AUUGAACGCUGGCGGCAUGCUUUACACAUGCAAGUCGAACGGCAGCACGGGCUUCGGCCUGGUGGCGAGUGGCGAACGGGUGAGUAAUAUAUCGGAACGUACCCAGAAGUGGGGGAUAACGUAGCGAAAGUUACGCUAAUACCGCAUACGAUCUAUGGAUGAAAGCAGGGGACCGCAAGGCCUUGUGCUCCUGGAGCGGCCGAUAUCUGAUUAGCUAGUUGGUGAGGUAAAGGCUCACCAAGGCGACGAUCAGUAGCUGGUCUGAGAGGACGACCAGCCGCACUGGAACUGAGACACGGUCCAGACUCCUACGGGAGGCAGCAGUGGGGAAUUUUGGACAAUGGGCGCAAGCCUGAUCCAGCAAUGCCGCGUGAGUGAAGAAGGCCUUCGGGUUGUAAAGCUCUUUUGUCAGGGAAGAAACGGUAGAGGCUAAUAUCCUUUGCUAAUGACGGUACCUGAAGAAUAAGCACCGGCUAACUACGUG